AAAUAUGAUUGUAUAUUGUCUGACUCCUGCCCAGUGUCUUAGAAAGUAAAAUGAAUAUUUGAAAAGGUAUUUGUAUAAGCUCAAGUAAACGGCGGCUGUAACCUUGACGGUCUUAAGGUAGCGAAAUCCCUAGUCAAUUAAUUGUUGACGUGCAUGAAUGGAGUAACGACUGUUUUACUGUCUCGGGCUUUUGUACUGUGAAUUCAUAAUUGUCGUGAAGAUACGACAUUCCUAUAGUGGGACGGAGAGACCCUAUGCAGCUUUACUAUAAUUUUAAAGUGUUUGAAAUUCUUUAAGUAUGUAGGAUAGGUAUAAGCUUAUUAUUUUUUUAACGCAAGUUAAUUGAUUAGGCAAUCUUGAAAUAGUACCUCUUUAAAAAUUUUUAAAACUAAUUUUACAAAGACAUUUUAUGAUUGGUAGUUUCACUGGGGG
rnacentral:rRNA from 1 species